ensembl:misc_RNA Metazoa_SRP Metazoan signal recognition particle RNA
GCUGGGUGUGGUGGUGCACACCUGUAGUCUCAGCUCUUCAAGAGGCUGAGGUGGGAGGAUCACUUGAGCCCAGGAGUUUGAGACUGCAGUGAGCUGUGAUUGUGCUACUGUACUCCAGCCUGGGCAACAGAGUGAGACCCUGUGUCUU